UACAGAGGGGGCCAGCGUUAUUCGGAAUUAUUGGGCGUAAAGGGCGCGUAGGUGGCCACUUCAAGCGUGCGGUGAAAGUCGGGGGCUCAACCCCUGAUCGGCCGUGCGAACUGGGGGGCUGGAGCACUGUAGAGGCAGGCGGAAUUCCGGGUGUAGCGGUGGAAUGCGUAGAGAUCCGGAAGAACACCGGUGGCGAAGGCGGCCUGCUGGGCAGUUUUGCUGACACUGAGGCGCGACAGCGUGGGGAGCAAACAGG
rnacentral:rRNA from 1 species